rfam:Brachypodium distachyon strain Bd21 chromosome 1, whole genome shotgun sequence.
UAUGUACUCCCUCAGUUCAACAAAAGAUGUCUCAAGUUUUGUCAAAAUUUGGAUGUAUCUAUACAUGACUUAGUGUAUAGAUGCAUUCAAAUUCAAUCAAAGUCGAAACAUCUUUUGUUAGACGGAGGAAUCAUAUC